ACCAGCUUCUGGCUUCAAACGGGAGGUUUGUUAGGAAUCAGCAUUGUCUCUUUAUGAAGAUUUAUGGAGAAGCUGAUGAACAUUAGGCUGCGAAGCAGAACUCAGGAAACAUCCUGACCAGGCCUACUUUGUGUGAAUGCCUGCAGCAAGGAAGAAAUUAAUGCAUCCCCUCCAGAGGCUGACGGGAACCAGGAACUAUUUGACUUUCCCUCCUCUUUCAGUAUAAAAGAAGGCUGAAUUCUAACUCAGAUCUUAAGUUCCUCAGCUGUGGAUUUUCUACCCUUCAAAGUAGGAAACUAAUUCUCACCAUCCGAGGAACCACUAAGUUCCUCAUGUUAUCUAUGUACUUCAGGUGCCUCGGAGAGAAGUUUUCUGACACUUGAUUGCAACGUCUCAUGGAAGUUUUAAAAUUCUGUGACUGUGAUGAAGGACACUUUGAAUGAGUUGCUCUCCACUGUUUUGGGUGUUCAAUAC
ensembl:lncRNA